CCUACGGGAGGCAGCAGUGGGGAAUUUUGGACAAUGGGCGAAAGCCUGAUCCAGCCAUGCCGCGUGCAGGAUGAAGGCCUUCGGGUUGUAAACUGCUUUUGUACGGAACGAAAAGGUCUUUUCUAAUAAAGAAGGCUCAUGACGGUACCGUAAGAAUAAGCACCGGCUAACUACGUGCCAGCAGCCGCGGUAAUACGUAGGGUGCGAGCGUUAAUCGGAAUUACUGGGCGUAAAGCGUGCGCAGGCGGUUAUAUAAGACAGUUGUGAAAUCCCCGGGCUCAACCUGGGAACUGCAUCUGUGACUGUAUAGCUAGAGUACGGUAGAGGGGGAUGGAAUUCCGCGUGUAGCAGUGAAAUGCGUAGAUAUGCGGAGGAACACCGAUGGCGAAGGCAAUCCCCUGGACCUGUACUGACGCUCAUGCACGAAAGCGUGGGGAGCAAACAGGAUUAGAUACCCUGGUAGUCCACGCCCUAAACGAUGUCAACUGGUUGUUGGGUCUUCACUNACUCAGUAACGAAGACACGACGUGAGUAGACGCGNGGAGGACGCGCGAGUAGAACGACGAAGAAGUAGAGCGNGAGAGNGACGACGACGACGACGAGGGAGGAGG
rnacentral:rRNA from 1 species